UAGUUUAGCUCUUAGCUGAAUCAUUAGCAGCCCAGCUUCUUCAUCCCUCUCUCCCACACUUCCCUGCUCAGUUGGUUAAAAGCUAUUCCUUGGCCUUCUUUAAUAAUAAUGAUACGUGCAAUAAAUGUAGCUUGUUUGUAGAUUUGGAGGCCAUGCUCAAUCAGUUGGGAACUUGUUCUGCACCCUUGAAAAUAUUUCAGGUAGCCAGGCCCCUGUAGUCGGUGAGGGGGAAGGUAGCUUAGCAACCAUUAGUUGUCAUCCAGCUGACUGUUCUGUGAAGCCAGGAACUCACACCCAGGAGGCGUAGAUGCCACCAACAUCUGUGGUUCAUCUUUUUUUAAAUUGGCAGAUGUGACAAACUACAGUCUUGGAACCACAGACGGUACAACAGGACUCUCCAUCAGACCGUACCAACCAACCACUAGACCACACAACAAGUCGGUAGGUUCCAUUCAUAUCCUUUAUCUGCCUCUCCACCUGUGUCUC
rnacentral:lncRNA from 1 species